rnacentral:rRNA from 1 species
GAUGAACGCUGGCGGCGUGCCUAAUACAUGCAAGUCGAGCGAAUGGAUUAAGAGCUUGCUCUUAUGAAGUUAGCGGCGGACGGGUGAGUAACACGUGGGUAACCUGCCCAUAAGACUGGGAUAACUCCGGGAAACCGGGGCUAAUACCGGAUAACAUUUUGAACCGCAUGGUUCGAAAUUGAAAGGCGGCUUCGGCUGUCACUUAUGGAUGGACCCGCGUCGCAUUAGCUAGUUGGUGAGGUAACGGCACACAAAGGCAACGAUGCGUAGCCGACCUGAGAGGGUGAUCGGCCACACUGGGACUGAGACACGGCCCAGACUCCUACGGGAGGCAGCAGUAGGGAAUCGUCCGCAAUGGACGAAAGUCUGACGGAGCAACGCCGCGUGAGUGAUGAAGGCUUUCGGGUCGUAAAACUCUGUUGUUAGGGAAGAACAAGUGCUAGUUGAAUAAGCUGACACCUUGACGGUACCUAACCAGAAAGCCACGGCUAACUACGUGCCAGCAGCCGCCGUAA